GAUGAACGCUGGCGGCGUGCCUAAUACAUGCAAGUCGAGCGAAUGGAUUAAGAGCUUGCUCUUAUGAAGUUAGCGGCGGACGGGUGAGUAACACGUGAGUAACCUGCCCAUAAGACUGGGAUAACUCCGGGAAACCGGGGCUAAUACCGGAUAACAUUUUGAACCGCAUGGUUCGAAAUUGAAAGGCGGCUUCGGCUGUCACUUAUGGAUGGACCCGGGUCGCAUUAGCUAGUUGGUGAGGUAACGGCUCACCAAGGCAACGAUGCGUAGCCGACCUGAGAGGGUGAUCGGCCACACUGGGACUGAGACACGGCCCAGACUCCUACGGGAGGCAGCAGUAGGGAAUCUUCCGCAAUGGACGAAAGUCUGACGGAGCAACGCCGCGUGAGUGAUGAAGGCUUUCGGGUCGUAAAACUCUGUUGUUAGGGAAGAACAAGUGCUAGUUGAAUGAGCUGGCACCUUGACGGUACCUAACCAGAAAGCCACGGCUAACUACGUGCCAGCCGCCGCAGUAA
rnacentral:rRNA from 1 species